GACGAACGCUGGCGGCGUGCUUAACACAUGCAAGUCGAACGGAAAGGCCCUGCUUUUGUGGGGUGCUCGAGUGGCGAACGGGUGAGUAACACGUGAGUAACCUGCCCUUGACUUUGGGAUAACUUCAGGAAACUGGGGCUAAUACCGGAUAGGAGCUCCUGCUGCAUGGUGGGGGUUGGAAAGUUUCGGCGGUUGGGGAUGGACUCGCGGCUUAUCAGCUUGUUGGUGGGGUAGUGGCUUACCAAGGCUUUGACGGGUAGCCGGCCUGAGAGGGGGACCGGCCACAUUGGGCCUGAGGUACGGCCCAGACUGCUACGGGAGGCAGCAGUGGGGAAUAUUGCACAAUGGGCGGAAGCCUGAUGCAGCAACGCCGCGUGCGGGAUGACGGCCUUCGGGUUGUAAACCGCUUUCGCCUGUGACGAAGCGUGAGUGACGGUAAUGGGUAAAGAAGCACCGGCUAACUACGUG
rnacentral:rRNA from 1 species